rnacentral:sRNA from 2 species
CCUCCUAUGCAACCGCACAAUGUUGGGUUUUUAAGCGUAAGCACCCAACUUGGCGAGUCUUCAGGGGAAA